UACACUGGAAGCUCAGUCUGCCUCACUCAUCAAAAUAUUUACUUAGGUGACAUGUACAAUAUCCAAUUCCUUAUCAGGUCUUACACUUUUAGUUUUCCCUGUGUUCCUUUCCUAGGGUCAGCAACCCUAUUUAAACAUGUGACCAGUGGGAUCAGCGCGCCCCAGAUGACCCUCUCAGGCAGAGGCUUUGCUUAGUUACAGUGAUAUCACAAAAACUCAUAACGGAGGGAAUGGUGUGCAACUCACAGCAUAUGCUGGCAACAGCUGUCUUUUAUUACACAUUAUCUAAUAUGAGAAGUCUAGGUUUAGCAAUUUGGCAGUCUUGCAAACUACACAUUCAGUUCUGACUGUUGAAUACAUAAAGCUCCUUAACUCCUCACUAGCUACUAAUCUAGUGAUGCCUGGGGUUGAAUUUAGAAUGGCUCUUCUGCUUUUAGUCAAGUGACUUGAAAGAUGAGGUAUUAAUAUUCAAAAUGCAAUGUCUCUUGUGAUUCACAGGUCUCCCUUUAAGGGGGAAACCAAGACCAAAUACUGCAGCUGUCUGUUUGCAAACCAGAGAAAGAAACUGCAAUGAGCCAGCUAGCUAUCCACUCUGUGAGCUCAGAGAUCAAUGCUGUGGCCACUUCUGAUCUUUCAAUUGAGAACGAACCUAUUCUACUUGGACUAUAUUGUAUACCACUGUUUCCCAAUAUUGCCUCAGUCUACCUUCUAUCUUUAAGUUUGUACCUUGCAUCUUACAGUGUAACCCCCGCUUUCACUAUAUUUGAUGUCAGUAUAACA